GUGGGGAAUAUUGGGCAAUGGGGGAAACCCUGACCCAGCAACGCCGCGUGAGGGAAGAAGGUUUUCGGAUUGUAAACCUCUGUCCUUGGUGACGAAGGAAGUGACGGUAACCAAGGAGGAAGCCCCGGCUAACUACGUGCCAGCAGCCGCGGUAAUACGUAGGGGGCAAGCGUUGUCCGGAAUGACUGGGCGUAAAGGGCGUGUAGGCGGCCGAUUAAGUCUGGAGUGAAAGUCCUGCUUUCAAGGUGGGAAUUGCUUUGGAGACUGGUUGGCUUGAGUGCGGAAGAGGUAAGUGGAAUUCCCAGUGUAGCGGUGAAAUGCGUAGAGAUUGGGAGGAACACCAGUGGCGAAGGCGACUUACUGGGCCGUAACUGACGCUGAGGCGCGAAAGCGCGGGGAGCGAACAGGAUUAGAAACCCUAGUAGUCC
rnacentral:rRNA from 1 species